rnacentral:rRNA from 1 species
GCCUUUUGUAGAAUGAACCGGCGAGUUACGAUCUGAUGCAAGGUUAAGCAGGAGAUGUGGAGCCGUAGCGAAAGCGAGUCUGAAUAGGGCGUUGAGUAUUUGGUCGUAGACCCGAAACCAGGUGAUCUACCCAUGGUCAGGUUGAAGUUCAGGUAACACUGAAUGGAGGACCGAACCGACUUACGUUGAAAAGUGAGCGGAUGAACUGUGGGUAGCGGAGAAAUUCCAAUCGAACUUGGAGAUAGCUGGUUCUCUCCGAAAUAGCUUUAGGGCUAGCCUCAAGUGAUGAUUAUUGGAGGUAGAGCACUGUUUGGACGAGGGGCCCCUCUCGGGUUACCGAAUUCAGACAAACUCCGAAUGCCAAUUAAUUUAACUUGGGAGUCAGAACAUGGGUGAUAAGGUCCGUGUUCGAAAGGGAAACAGCCCAGACCACCAGCUAA